rnacentral:rRNA from 1 species
UACGGGGGGGGCAAGCGUUGUUCGGAAUUACUGGGCGUAAAGGGCGCGUAGGCGGCCUGCUAAGUCGGAUGUGAAAUCCCUCGGCUCAACCGAGGAACUGCAUCCAAUACUGGCGGGCUUGAAUCCGGGAGAGGGAUGUGGAAUUCCAGGUGUAGCGGUGAAAUGCGUAGAUAUCUGGAGGAACACCGGUGGCGAAGGCGGCAUCCUGGACCGGUAUUGACGCUGAGGCGCGAAAGCUAGGGGAGCAAACGGG